rnacentral:tRNA from 1 species
GCUCAGGUGGGGAAAUUGGUAGACCCAUUACCUUGAGGUGGUAACGUCGCAAGACAUGCUGGUUCAAGUCCAGUCCUGAGCACAA